GUAAUUCCUAGUUCAGUUCUUCCACAUCAUCUAGUCAAACAAAAUCCACCUAAGUGAAGUUUGGAGAGCAAACAUGGACGUAGGACUUCUAGGAAAAGCAUGUGUGUGAACAUAGCCUACUAUGGAAUGUUACAGAAGGGUGGAGACAUGAGCAGUACUGUAUGGGUUACAAAUGAAAUGCAUUAUCACAUCGCAUCAGAAACUGGAUCUACCACCCUGCCAACCCACCACUCAUCUCAACAGCAUGGACUGAGAAGCUAACCAACCUGUUAUAACAGAUAAGACAUUCCAGUAUUGUUUGUUUAGUCAGAUAUAUCAGAGAAGCUUAAAGAAUAUGAAGCAAGAAAAACAAAGGUGGUUUGUCUCGCAUCAAGUUCACCUCAGCGUUAGAAGCUGGAUCUUAUGUUGCUGAUUUAACGGUAUAA